rnacentral:rRNA from 1 species
UACAGAGGUCUCAAGCGUUGUUCGGAUUUACUGGGCGUAAAGGGCGCGUAGGCGGCGUGGUAAGUCACUUGUGAAAUCUCUGAGCUUAACUCAGAACGGCCAAGUGAUACUGCUGUGCUCGAGUGUGGAAGGGGCAAUCGGAAUUCUUGGUGUAGCGGUGAAAUGCGUAGAUAUCAAGAGGAACACCUGAGGUGAAGACGGGUUGCUGGGCCAACACUGACGCUGAGGCGCGAAAGCCAGGGGAGCAAACGGG